rnacentral:rRNA from 1 species
UACGUAGGAGGCAAGCGUUGUCCGGAGUACUGGGCGUAAAGCGCACGCAGGCGGUCCUAUUAGUCUGGGGUGACAGUUCCCGGCUUAACCGGAAAAGGACUCUGGAAACUGUAGGACUUGAGGGCUUCAGAGGGAUGUGGAAUUCCAGGUGGAGUGGUGAAAUGCGUAGAGAUCUGGAAGAACACCAAAGGCGAAGGCAGCAUCCUGGGAAGUUCCUGACGCUCGGGUGGCGAAAGCCAGGGGAGCGGAACGGG